UACGUAGGGGGCAAGCGUUGUCCGGAUUUAUUGGGCGUAAGAGCGUGUAGGCGGUUUGGUAGGUCCGCUGUGAAAACUCGAGGCUCAACCUCGAGACGCCGGUGGAAACCAUCAGACUAGAGUCCGGAAGAGGAGAGUGGAAUUCCUGGUGUAGCGGUGAAAUGCGCAGAUAUCAGGAAGAACACCCGUGGCUAAGGCGGCUCUCUAGUACGGUACUGACGCUGAGACGCGAAAGCGUGGGGAGCGAACAGG
rnacentral:rRNA from 1 species